UGCAGGAUGAGGUAGUAGAUUGUAUAGUUUUGGGGUCACACCCGAUCUGGGAGAUAACUAUACAGUUUACUGUCUUUCCUGCG
ensembl:miRNA xtr-let-7f xtr-let-7f